rnacentral:rRNA from 1 species
AGAGUUUGAUCCUGGCUCAGAUUGAACGCUGGCGGCAUGCCUUACACAUGCAAGUCGAACGGUAACGCGGGGCAACCUGGCGACGAGUGGCGAACGGGUGAGUAAUGUAUCGGAACGUGCCCAGUAGUGGGGGAUAGCCCGGCGAAAGCCGGAUUAAUACCGCAUACGACCUACGGGUGAAAGGGGGGGAUCGCAAGACCUCUCGCUAUUGGAGCGGCCGAUAUCAGAUUAGCUAGUUGGUGAGGUAAAGGCUCACCAAGGCGACGAUCCGUAGCGGGUCUGAGAGGAUGAUCCGCCACACUGGGACUGAGACACGGCCCAGACUCCUACGGGAGGCAGCAGUGGGGAAUUUUGGACAAUGGGCGCAAGCCUGAUCCAGCCAUGCCGCGUGAGUGAAGAAGGCCUUCGGGUUGUAAAGCUCUUUCGGUGGGGAAGAAAUUGCACAGGAUAAUACCUUGUGUAGAUGACGGUACCCGCAUAAGAAGCACCGGCUAACUACGUG